rnacentral:rRNA from 1 species
GACGAACGCUGGCGGCGUGCUUAACACAUGCAAGUCGAACGGAAAGGCCCUGCUUUUGUGGGGUGCUCGAGUGGCGAACGGGUGAGUAACACGUGAGUAACCUGCCCUUGACUUUGGGAUAACUUCAGGAAACUGGAGCUAAUACCGGAUAGGAGCUCCUGCUGCAUGGUGGGGGUUGGAAAGUUUCGGCGGUUGGGGAUGGACUCGCGGCUUAUCAGCUUGUUGGUGGGGUAGUGGCUUACCAAGGCUUUGACGGGUAGCCGGCCUGAGAGGGUGACCGGCCACAUUGGGACUGAGAUACGGCCCAGACCCCUACGGGAGGCAGCAGUGGGGAAUAUUGCACAAUGGGCGGAAGCCUGAUGCAGCAACGCCGCGUGCGGGAUGACGGCCUUCGGGUUGUAAACCGCUUUCGCCUGUGACGAAGCGUGAGUGACGGUAAUGGGUAAAGAAGCACCGGCUAACUACGUG